GGUUCUAUAGGUGUAGUGGUUAUCACGUCUGCUUUACACGCAGAAGGUCCUGGGUUCAAUCCCUAGUAGAAUCA